GAGGAAUAUUGGUCAAUGGACGAAAGUCUGAACCAGCCAAGUAGCGUGCAGGAUGACGGCCCUCCGGGUUGUAAACUGCUUUUAGUUGGGAAUAAAAAGAGGGACGUGUCCCUUAUUGUAUGUACCUUCAGAAAAAGGACCGGCUAAUUCCGUGCCAGCAGCCGCGGUAAUACGGAAGGUCCAGGCGUUAUCCGGAUUUAUUGGGUUUAAAGGGAGCGUAGGCGGAUUGUUAAGUCAGCGGUUAAAGGGUGUGGCUCAACCAUACAUUGCCGUUGAAACUGGCGAUCUUGAGUGCAGACAGGGAUGCCGGAAUUCGUGGUGUAGCGGUGAAAUGCUUAGAUAUCACGAAGAACUCCGAUCGCGAAGGCAGGUGUCCGGGCUGCAACUGACGCUGAGGCUCGAAAGUGUGGGUAUCAAACAGGAUUAGAUACCCUGGUAGUCCACACAGUAAACGAUGUAUACUCGCGGUUUGCGAUAGACAGUAAGCCGCCAAGCGAAAGCAUUAAGUAUACCACCUGGGGAGUACGCCGGCAACGGUG
rnacentral:rRNA from 1 species